UCAAGGGGAUCUCCACUUCUUCUAAAAUUAAUAUUGACAAUAUAAAGAUAAAAAAAAAAAUUCACAUUCACUUGCUUGCACUGAGAAACCGGAGUCAUUAGUGCUGCUUUAUAAACUGUCUAAAGUCAAAUGAUGACAGUGUAUUUAGUUCUGAAAUGAUGUCAUAUUUUUGCAGGUAACUCAUCCAUCUUGACCAAGCAAGAUUAAAUUUGAACUACUCAGAGCCAUCCUCAAUUUAUUUUCAAUCUCCUUGAAGCCUUUAACUUCCCUCUGUUUGAAACCCUCAGUCAUUUGAUCAUGACACAAGACAGAGACCAUCCUACCUUAAUAUAAGGAAUUCUUUCGAGUGAUUGAGUAUUCAAAGCAUAAAACAAAGUCAUAAGACCAGAUAUAAUAUUUAUUUGAUAUGGAAAUGCUUGCAGAUAUGCAUUGCAAGGUAUAAAUUAUUCAUGUUGUUUUUUGAUUUUUUUUUUUUUGUGUGUGUGUCUACAAUAUAUAUAUAUUAUGUAUUCCCUUCUUCCGACAGAACCGUCUUUUGAAAUAAAAGAAGAGGUUAAAAAAAGACGGGUCAGUUGUCGUUUCCCGUCGACUACAAAGGAUGAAAGAAGAAAAAACUUCAUCAUGAGAUUCACCAUCAGGGUCCACCAUCUGAAAAUGGAGACAGUACAGCACAACUGUAAACCAACCAAGACUGGCUAACCUAAACUGACAGCUUGGCCAAUGACAUCACAAAUCACAGAAGAAGCCAUGAGCCUCAAGAUGAUGAAGAAUCACCAACAACUUCUUGAUAUCUAUUUAGACGUUUCGCUAAUUAUCCAUCACAGAAUAUCUGAAGGGACAUCUGUACAGAAGAUGUAUGAUGGGAUGCUUUGCCAAAAGCCUCUUUGUUGUACUUAUGUAAUUGUCAUGUUCAUUGGGAAUUUUUUAUUGAUACAAUAACAAAGCACAUGUCCACAAAUUAGCUUCACUUUCUCCCAUUCAACUUCUCAUUGUCUGCAAUGCCUGUGAGGGCUUAGAAUAAUGGAUGAUUGGAGAGGAGAAAGGAAUCAGUGAGAAGCGUGUGUGUGUGUGUGUGUAUGCGUGCAGCCUUUGGCAGUGUGGUAAAGAAAAGCCUCCCGGAUUGUUUGAGCCCAGUGGAAGGAAGCCUGCCAGUUUCUCCACCACCGGGACUCUCUGACCUGCGCUUGUGUUUGUUUGUGUGUGUGUGUGUUUUUAUUAUGAUUGUGAAGCCUUCAUAUGGUUCUGUAUGCGUCCAAUCUCUGUACAUUUAUAUAGAGCAUGUGAAUGCGCGUACUUGUGUUUCCGUCCAUUCCUGAGAUUGGUCAUUGGCCACAUGCACCUGUGUGUUGUGGGUGUAGGUGAGUGUGUACAUGUGUGGGAAGCAAGCAGAUGAAGAGAAGACUCUCCUCAUAUUCAGCGUGAUCUGAAGCCUCACCUAUGUCAAUAUAUUUAGUGUACAACCCAGCUCCGUCUCUCAUUAUGCAUUCUCAUCUACUGCUCGUUGUUGUGAAUCUUACAUCUCAAUUAGCCUCUGUGUUCUGGACAUAAUCCAGCAUUAUUUGUGGCAAGCAACGGGAUAUUAAAGCAACUAAAAAUGGCAUCAAAAGCAAAUAUGAAGAGCAAUAGUUUUCCUCAUAAAUAUGAAUGCUAUGACAUUGUUUUGCUGUAUGGUUUUGUCCUUCUAUUCUGCAUGCGUGGUUAAAUUAGACAUAAGUGUGACUAUUAAAAGGUUAUUUGGCUGUUAUAAUGGCUACUUGCAGCUUUUUGGGAGGUUAUUGUCCUGUUGAUGACACAUUUUGGGCCAUGCUUCAGCUGUUGAACAGAUGGCCUCACAUCUGACUCUGGAGUACAGAGACAUUCACAGUUUACUCAUUGACUGCAAGGUGUCCAGGUUGUCUGGUUGAAAGACAAGCCCAAACCAUCAACCUUACAACUCUUUGCUUGCCAGUUGGCAUGAGAUCUCCACACACCAGACCUUAUUUCAAUAGUCUUGGUCUAUAUCUAUGUUGUUUUUGGCAAAUGUUAGUCUGGCAUUCAUGAUUUUCCAGUUUGGGCAGUGUGAAUGUACUUGAGUUUAUUUAAGGACAAAAAAUAUAUAUAUGAUGAUUAAAUCUGAGAUUUAAAAAAAAAAUUAAUGGUGGAUAAAAUUUAAUUCUGUAAAAUGAUGGAUUGACCUUAAAUUAUGGGCAGCAAACAGUUGCUGUCGUUAUUUCAUUGCAGAUGUAUUUCCACCAUAGCAUUUAGUUAAUGCACACCUGUAAGUUCUGGAUCAGAAUGGUGCCAAAUCUCAUGUCUUAACAGAAAUGGUGAAAUCGAUGAUGAUUUUGAAGAAGAGCUGGUACUCUGUAUUUGUAAUCCCGUGGAGGCUGCAAAAAUUGGCUUUUCUUAGAUCUUAAAAAAUAUUCUUCCCCUUAAUUCAAAUGCUUUUUAUUACAUUGUUGAAAGUUACUCACAUGGCUGUAGCCUUCAAAAAUCUGUUUCUUAGAAUAAACCAACCCUGUUGAAAACAGUGGCAACUUUUAGGAAAGAGUGAAUAUCUUAUUCACAAAAACAAAAUUAGCUACAGGCAAUUUCAAACUCCUGCCGCUCUGAUCAUUAAAACAAGAAUACUCCAUGGCUAUUACUCUCCAGUGAGAAAAUUUACUAUUUUGUGAUUUAGUUAAACUGACUCUUUAUACACUUACCUCCUCUUUGAGUUGGUAUUGUUAAGAUGUUUCGAUCCACCAGUGAAAGAGUCGGAUCAAAGCCUUGCUGAAGGGCACCUUGACAGUAACUGCUCAAGGAGGAAGCAGCUUUACUUUGACAUACUUCAGGUUUUAAAACGCUGCCAGUGCCUUGUCAGCAUAAUCUUGGAUCCUGGCCCAGGGAGUUCUCCUUAAUCUUACAUUACCAUAUCUGCUAUAGAGGGGCCAUAUGAACCUGUGAAAUGGGAGCAGAAUCCCAGAUACAUACACAAGUGAAUACACACACAUUUUAUCUGUUUACUGGACCCUUUGUUUUUGAGUGGGCUUUAAUUGUGUCUGACAGGAUGUAAAUUUCCCUCCAACGUGUACUGCUACUAUAAUACCCUUUAUGAAACUUUCCCUGUGACUUCUUACUGAAGAGUAACAGAUCAAAAGUAAAGACUUUGACAAAGCAAACAACCGUAAUCAUUUUUUUUACAACCAGUGCUUAAAUGCCCUAUAUUUAUAAAGGUAAAAUCAGAGGCAUAUUCAAUAACUUUUUGCAGCUCUUCACAGUUAUUCUGAGCAGCUGCAGCUUGUUCCAUUUUUAUAGAGAUGGUUCAUUCAUCAUUAGAUGGAUGUCUGUUCAUGUAAAACUUGUGGGUCACCAUUUUCUUGUACGGAUAUUGCUUUUUCUGAUGGUAUUGUAAUAAAGCUGCAAGAAGAAAAAAAGAAUCAAGGUAUCUGCAGGAUAAAGCUGAUUUUGCUAAAAUACGUCCUCAUGAGGCACAGAGCCUGAUGUUUUUUU